rnacentral:rRNA from 1 species
UACGAAGGGGGCUAGCGUUGCUCGGAAUCACUGGGCGUAAAGCGCACGUAGGCGGAUUGUUAAGUCCGGGGUGAAAUCCUGGAGCUCAACUCCAGAACUGCCCUUGAUACUGGCGGUCUCGAGUCCGGGAGAGGUGAGUGGAACUGCGAGUGUAGAGGUGAAAUUCGUAGAUAUUCGCAAGAACACCAGUGGCGAAGGCGGCUCACUGGCCCGGUACUGACGCUGAGGUGCGAAAGCGUGGGGAGCAAACAGG